GAGUGAAUGAUGAGAUCUUUUCUUGAGGAGAUGUAACGACAUAAAAAUUAUGCUCAAUAGGAUCACACUGAGGCCC
ensembl:snoRNA SNORD115 Small nucleolar RNA SNORD115